rnacentral:rRNA from 1 species
CAGUAGCCGCGGUAAUACGUAGGGUGCGAGCGUUAAUCGGAAUUACUGGGCGUAAAGCGUGCGCAGGCGGUUAUAUAAGACAGAUGUGAAAUCCCCGGGCUCAACCUGGGACCUGCAUUUGUGACUGUAUAGCUAGAGUACGGUAGAGGGGGAUGGAAUUCCGCGUGUAGCAGUGAAAUGCGUAGAUAUGCGGAGGAACACCGAUGGCGAAGGCGAUCCCCUGGACCUGUACUGACGCUCAUGCACGAAAGCGUGGGGAGCAAACAGGAUUAGAUACCCCUGUAGUCCCUGUCUCUUAUAC